rnacentral:lncRNA from 1 species
GACAUGAAUGAUUGUGGUGACACCCCAGUGAUGUGGGGACAGCAGAUAAGAGUGACAGCAUUUCAGAUUGGCCAGGAGCAAAGACAAUAGGAUUCCUCUGCUUAGGAAUCACUAAUGGCUUGGCCUUACUUCCGAAUCCCAGGGACUUUCCAUAAACUCUGCAAUGAAACACUGCUCACCAUUGACACCAUCAGACUGUUGAAUCAUCUGACCAAAGAGGGUAUCAAGUCAUCUUUGAAGAUGCAUAUAGUCAAUCCAAAAUGAUUGGGGGAACAAUGCAUACAAAGACAAAAGUCUGAAUCCCAGCACCAACCAGGAUGUUCUGCCAACCAUAAUAUUUUCCUAAGUGACUAUUGGUCAAAUCUUUAGUUAUGGGGCUGCCACUUUAUGCCCAUCCAUGUCCCACGUCCCACUCAAGAUGGGGGGUCAUCCUUACCAGGCUAGUAAUGAAUGAUCUAUUCUCAAAACUCCAUCUUAUCUCCUGCUUUCUCAGACCACUCCAAUUACCAACUGUGUUGGUCUG